rnacentral:rRNA from 1 species
AAUGAACGCUGGCGGCGUGGAUACCCAUGCAAGUCGAACGGAAAACACAAUAGCUUGCUAAUGUGUUUUUAGUGGCGGACGGGUUAGUAACACGUGAGCAACCUGCCUCGAAGCGGGGGAUAGCCUUCCGAAAGGGAGAUUAAUACCGCAUGUGACCUACGGGUUAAAGAUGCCUUCGGGUGUCACUUCGAGAUGGGCUCGCGGCCUAUCAGCUAGAUGGUGAGGUAACGGCUCACCAUGGCAACGACGGGUAGCUGGUCUGAGAGGAUGAUCAGCAACACUGGAACUGAGACACGGUCCAGACACCUACGGGUGGCAGCAGUCGAGAAUCAUUCACAAUGGGGGAAACCCUGAUGGUGCAACGCCGCGUGGAGGAUGAAGGCCCUAGGGUCGUAAACUCCUGUCAUAUAAGAGUAAGGCAUAGUUGGUUAAUACCCAGUUAUGUUUGAUAGUAUUAUAAGAGGAAGGGACGGCUAACUUCGUGCCAGCAGCCGCGGUAAUACGAAGGUCCCGAGCGUUAUUCGGAAUCACUGGGCGUAAAGAGUACGUAGGCGGUUUGGUAAGUCAGGU